rnacentral:rRNA from 1 species
CGAGAGAGAGCUUGCUUUCUCGAGCGAGUGGCGAACGGGUGAGUAACGCGUGAGGAACCUGCCUCAAAGAGGGGGACAACAGUUGGAAACGACUGCUAAUACCGCAUAAGCCCACGGUGCCGCAUGGUACAGAGGGAAAAGGAGCAAUCCGCUUUGAGAUGGCCUCGCGUCCGAUUAGCUAGUUGGUGAGGUAAUGGCCCACCAAGGCAACGAUCGGUAGCCGGACUGAGAGGUUGAACGGCCACAUUGGGACUGAGACACGGCCCAGACUCCUACGGGAGGCAGCAGUGGGGAAUAUUGCACAAUGGGGGAAACCCUGAUGCAGCGACGCCGCGUGGAGGAAGAAGGUCUUCGGAUUGUAAACUCCUGUUGUUGGGGAAGAUAAUGACGGUACCCAACAAGGAAGUGACGGCUAACUACGUGCCAGCAGCCGCGGUAAAACGUAGGUCACAAGCGUUGUCCGGAAUUACUGGGUGUAAAGGGAGCGCAGGCGGGAAGACAAGUUGGAAGUGAAAUCUAUGGGCUCAACCCAUAAACUGCUUUCAAAACUGUUUUUCUUGAGUAGUGCAGAGGUAGGCGGAAUUCCCGGUGUAGCGGUGGAAUGCGUAGAUAUCGGGAGGAACACCAGUGGCGAAGGCGGCCUACUGGGCACCAACUGACGCUGAGGCUCGAAAGUGUGGGUAGCAAACAGGAUUAGAUACCCUGGUAGUCCACACCGUAAACGAUGAUUACUAGGUGUUGGAGGAUUGACCCCUUCAGUGCCGCAGUUAACACAAUAAGUAAUCCA